rnacentral:rRNA from 1 species
GAUGAACGCUGGCGGCGUGCCUAAUACAUGCAAGUCGAGCGAACAGACGAGGAGCUUUCUCCUCUGCCGUUAGCGGCGGACGGGCGAGUAACACGUGGAUAACCUACCUAUAAUACUUGGAUAACUUCGGGAAACCGGAGCUAAUACCGGAUAACAUGUUGAACCGCAUGGUUCAACAGUUCAAGACGCCUUUGCUGUCACUUAUAGAUGAAUCCGCGUCGCAUUAGCUAGUUGGUAAGGUAACGGCUUACCAAGGCAACGAUGCGUAGCCGGCCUGAGAGGGUGAUCCGCCACACUGGAACUGAGACACGGUCCAGACUCCUACGGGAGGCAGCAGUAGGGAAUAUUGCACAAUGGGCGAAAGCCUGAUCGAGCAACGCCGCGUGAGUGAAGAAGGUCUUCGGAUCGUAAAACUCUGUUAUUAGGGAAGAACAAAUGUGUAAGUAACUAUGCACGUCUUGACGGUACCUAAUCAGAAAGCCACGGCUAACUACGUG